GCUAAAUGCGGAAGAGAUAAGUGCUGAAAGCAUCUAAGCACGAAACUUGCCCCGAGAUGAGUUCUCCCUGAGACUUUAAGUCUCCUGAAGGAACGUUAAAGACGAUGACGUUGAUAGGCCGGGUGUGUAAGCGCAGCGAUGCGUUGAGCUAACCGGUACUAAUGAACCGUGAGGCUUAACCUUACAACGCCGAAG
rnacentral:rRNA from 2 species